ACACUGGUGGUGAAGUGGAAUCACAAUCCAUGCGAGAGUGUACUCUCGAAUGCAAAGUCGAGGGUUCGAAUCCUUCCCAGUGUU